UACCAGCACCCCGAGUGGUCGGGACGAUUAUUGGGCCUAAAGCAUCCGUAGCCGGUUCUACAAGUCUUCCGUUAAAUCCACCUGCUUAACGGAUGGGCUGCGGAGGAUACCGCAGAGCUAGGAGGCGGGAGAGGCAAACGGUACUCAGUGGGUAGGGGUAAAAUCCAUUGAUCUACUGAAGACCACCAGUGGCGAAGGCGGUUUGCCAGAACGCGCUCGACGGUGAGGGAUGAAAGCUGGGGGAGCAAACCGG
rnacentral:rRNA from 1 species